rnacentral:lncRNA from 1 species
UAUCAAGUGUGUUUUGACAUUUCUGUUUGCCCAAGUUUGUGGUACUUUUUGAAUUUUGACUGUACAUUUUGAUUGUAUGUGUGUUCCAAUUUGACAACAUCAGCUACUAUUUUCCUUCUAGUCUUGUCGCUUUCUUGCACGUUUAUUAAUCCAAGCCUUGGAAGGAGAAAACAGCAGCGUAGUUUUCGAAAAUACAUACACAGAAAUGUACUUGCCACCUGGAAAUAAUUAUCAUUUGUAAAACAGUAUUUUAAAAAUACAACAAAACAUGAAUUCAAUUAUUAACGUGAAUUAUAGAUAUUUCUCUGUAUUCUUAAAAUGUUUGCAUUUUGUUCAUGUUGCAGGAACAACUACAUAUACUUGAGACAAGAGCAGCUUUGUUAGAACAAGGAAAGCAUAUCGAGAGACUUCAAAUGAAAAUAAAUCGCCUACAUGAUGAAUUCAGAAAUACUGGGCUACAAGGUACACGGUAAGUAUGAACAACUAUAGAAGCAAUUCUAUUUAACAUUCUCUUAUUUUAUUACCUUGUUCUAUAUGUGAUAAAAGAAAGACUCAGACCUUCAUUCACUUUAUUACAAAACAUGUAUGAACUUCACACAUUAUAUUCAAUUACUGGGAUCCUGUAGUUGUUGUUGCUAUGUGCCUUCAAGUAGUUUCUGAUUUAUGGUGAGCUUAAAGCAAACCUAUCAUGUUUUUGUUUUGCAAGAUUUGUUUGUGGGGAUGUCAUUGCCUUCCUGUGAGAGAGUGUGGCUUGCCUAAAGUCAUGCACUGGGUUUCCAUGGCAAAGUGAGGAUUUGAAUCUUUGUCUACAAAGUUGUAGUUCAACACUCAAACUACUACAUUACAUUGAUCCUCCUAUAUUUACAGCUUUUUAAUGCAACAGUCUUCCAAUGACAGCAAAUUCUAUUUCAAGGGAAAUUGGGGAAAAGCAGAAAUGUGUCACACUUUUUCCUUGAGCACACUGUGACUUUUUCCUUUGCUAAAUAUCUUCUAGGGACCUGCCAAAGUCCUUAGGAGGACACUGUAGAGGACAUUAUUGCUGUGCAUUGAGCUAGAAGGUAUUUAGCUGAAUCUGACUCUGCUCAUGCCCCCAUUAUCAUUUUGGGACUGAGGAGGUGUGGCAAACAUUCAAAGAUAUUCAAAACAUUCA